rnacentral:rRNA from 1 species
AGCAGUCGCCGCGGUAAUACAGAGGGUGCGAGCGUUAAUCGGAUUUACUGGGCGUAAAGCGUGCGUAGGCGGCUUCUUAAGUCGGAUGUGAAAUCCCUGAGCUCAACUUAGGAAUUGCAUUCGAUACUGGGAAGCUAGAGUAUGGGAGAGGAUGGUAGAAUUCCAGGUGUAGCGGUGAAAUGCGUAGAGAUCUGGAGGAAUACCGAUGGCGAAGGCAGCCAUCUGGCCUAAUACUGACGCUGAGGUACGAAAGCAUGGGGAGCAAACAGGAUUAGAUACCCCCGUAGUCCCUGUCUCUUAUAC